GAAGCGCACGCACACAAGUCCGUAUAAAACUAAGCCUCGGGGUUUUGUACUAAAUUAAGAGGAUCGCGAUUUGUACCCUGUUCGUCGGGUCACAAAGAGUUAAAACAGUAGACGAUAUCUAAGCAUGUAGUAUUCUCGAGCGUAGUGCUGGCGGACGCGGGUUCAACUCCCGCCACCUCCACCA
rnacentral:tmRNA from 1 species